AGAGUUUGAUCCUGGCUCAGGACGAACACUGGCGGCGUGCUUAACACAUGCAAGUCGAGCGGAAAGGCCCUUCGGGGUACUCGAGCGGCGAACGGGUGAGUAACACGUGAGUACCUGUCCUGGACUUUGGGAUAACCCUCGGAAACGGGGGGCUAAUACCGGAUACGACACAGUCUCGCAUGGGAUCUGUGUGGAAAGUUUUUCGGUCUGGGAUGGGCUCGCGGCCUAUCAGCUUGUUGGUGGGGUGAUGGCCUACCAAGGCGACGACGGGUAGCCGGCCUGAGAGGGCGACCGGCCACACUGGGACUGAGACACGGCCCAGACUCCUACGGGAGGCAGCAGUGGGGAAUAUUGCACAAUGGGCGGAAGCCUGAUGCAGCGACGCCGCGUGAGGGAUGACGGCCUUCGGGUUGUAAACCUCUUUCAGCAGGGACGAAGCGCAAGUGACGGUACCUGCAGAAGAAGCGCCGGCCAACUACGUGCCAGCAGCCGCGGUAAGACGUAGGGCGCGAGCGUUGUCCGGAUUUAUUGGGCGUAAAGAGCUCGUAGGCGGCUUGUCGCGUCGACCGUGAAAACUUGGGGCUCAACCCCAAGCCUGCGGUCGAUACGGGCAGGCUAGAGUUCGGUAGGGGAGACUGGAAUUCCUGGUGUGGCGGUGAAAUGCGCAGAUAUCAGGAGGAACACCGGUGGCGAAGGCGGGUCUCUGGGCCGAUACUGACGCUGAGGAGCGAAAGCGUGGGGAGCGAACAGGAUUAGAUACCCUAGUAGUCC
rnacentral:rRNA from 1 species